UACGGAGGAUCCAAGCGUUAUCCGGAUUUAUUGGGUUUAAAGGGUGCGUAGGCGGUUGAUUAAGUCAGUGGUGAAAGUUUGGAGCUUAACUCUAAAAUUGCCAUUGAAACUGGUCGACUUGAGUACGGUAGAGGUAGGCGGAAUGCGUGGUGUAGCGGUGAAAUGCAUAGAUAUCACGCAGAACCCCGAUUGCGAAGGCAGCUUACUGGACCGUUACUGACGCUGAGGCACGAAAGCGUGGGGAUCAAACAGG
rnacentral:rRNA from 1 species